rnacentral:rRNA from 1 species
GACGAAGGGGGCUAGCGUUGUUCGGAAUUACUGGGCGUAAAGAGCUCGUAGGUGGUUUGUCGCGUUGUUCGUGAAAACUCACAGCUCAACUGUGGGCGUGCGGGCGAUACGGGCAGACUGGAGUACUGCAGGGGAGACUGGAAUUCCUGGUGUAGCGGUGGAAUGCGCAGAUAUCAGGAGGAACACCGGUGGCGAAGGCGGGUCUCUGGGCAGUAACUGACGCUGAGGAGCGAAAGCGUGGGGAGCGAACAGG